UGUAUCGGAAGCCUGACGAGGAUGAGAACCUCCGGGGGCAAGAGGUUCGACUCGAGCGCAGCGAGAGAACGUUGCGUCAGCAACGGCCCGCAGGGCGAGCCACGCAGU
rnacentral:sRNA from 1 species